rnacentral:rRNA from 1 species
GCACCGCCCAAGUGCAAGUUCUUUGCGUGGUUAGUUAUCAAGGAUAGAAUUUGGACGGCCGACAGACUGCAAAGAAGAGGGUGGCCCAACUGCAAUUUGUGUCAACUUUGCAAGAGGGAGCCAGAGACCGCAGCUCAUCUUCUCUUCCAAUGCAGGUUCUCUGCCCGCAUUUGGAAUGCAAUAAGAGUUUGGGUGGAUGCCCCCGAACUGGAUGUGGCGGCCUGGAACGGGAUCCCCACGGUCAAAGAGUGGUGGUCGGCAGUGGUCCUUAGGCGUGGACAUAGGAGGAAGGCGAUUUCAUCACUCAUCAUGCUUGUUACUUGGGAAGUGUGGAAAGAGAGAAACGCGAGGGUGUUCCAGCAUGUAUGUAGGUUGCCAAGCGUGUUGGUCGAGGCUAUUAAA